rnacentral:rRNA from 1 species
AUUGAACGCUGGCGGAAUGCUUUACACAUGCAAGUCGAACGGCAGCACGGACUUCGGUCUGGUGGCGAGUGGCGAACGGGUGAGUAAUAUAUCGGAACGUAUCCAAUAAUGGGGGAUAACUAAUCGAAAGGUUGGCUAAUACCGCAUACGUCCUACGGGAGAAAGCUAGGGACCUUCGGGCCUGGCGUUAAUGGAGCGGCCGAUAUCGGAUUAGCUAGCUGGUGAGGUAAAGGCUCACCAAGGCGACGAUCCGUAGCUGGUCUGAGAGGACGACCAGCCACACUGGAACCGAGACACGGUCCAGACUCCUACGGGAGGCAGCAGUGGGGAAUUUUGGACAAUGGGCGAAAGCCUGAUCCAGCCAUUCCGCGUGAGUGAAGAAGGCCUUCGGGCUGUAAAGCUCUUUCGCAAGAGAAGAAAACUUACCCUCUAACAUAGGGUGAGGUUGACGGUAUCUUGAUAAGAAGCACCGGCUAACUACGUGCCAGCCGCCGCAGUAA